rnacentral:lncRNA from 1 species
AGCCUCUGGAGUAGCUGAGAGUACAGGCACAUGCUGGUAUGCCUGGCUAAUCUUUGUAAAUUUUUUUUUUUUUUGGCUAAUCUUUGUAAAUUUUUUUUUUUUUUUUUUUUUUUUUUUUUUUUGGAGAGAGGGGGUUUUGCCAUGUUGCUCAGGCUGGUCUCAAACUCCUGGGCUCAAGCAACUCUCCCACCUCAGCCUCCCAAAGUGCUGGCAUUACAGGCAUGAGCCACCGCACCCAACCGUCAUGUAUUAUUCUUGAAUCUAAAAGGAAAAAAGAAUAUGUAUUUUUGUAGUGAUUGCUGGAGCCCUCUUUCCUAGGUUGGCUGUGGUCAGUUUGUAGCAGUCCUAAUGUUAAUGGAGUCUAGCCAUUCUGAUCUGGCCUUCCAGGUCAUUAGGAGGCUCUGCCAUCACGUGAAGAG